UACGUAGGGUGCGAGCGUUGUCCGGAAUUAUUGGGCGUAAAGAGCUCGUAGGCGGUCUGUCGCGUCGAAUGUGAAAACCCGGGGCUCAAACUCCGGGCUUGCAUUCGAUACGGGCAGACUAGAGUUCGGUAGGGGAGACGUGGAAUUCCUGGUGUAGCGGUGGAAAUGACGCAGAUAUCAGGAGGAACACCGGUGGCGAAGGCGGGUCUCUGGGCCGAUACUGACGCUGAGGAGCGAAAGCGUGGGGAGCAAACAGG
rnacentral:rRNA from 1 species